rfam:Venezuelan equine encephalitis virus strain AG80-663, complete genome.
UUGCGUGGUGCCUUUUUUAGUGCUAGCCGGCGCCGUAGGCGCCGGCGCAUUCGAGCACGCGACCACGAUGC